CAAUGACUGAAAUUUAACAAUAAUCCUGCUCUCAUUCCUUUGAACCCAAUGUAAUUCGAUUCAAGAAUGUCAGUAGACAAUAUUAAGAAAUAAGUAAUAGUUAAAAAAAAAAUAAAUAAAGGGUACUGUCCCUAGACAGCAGGUAUGUCCUCAUCUUGACUUCUAUCUGCCUCGAAGAACUCGUCAAGAGGGUUACAGGCGUACCCAGUUGCUGCAGCAAUAGAGGAUUCGCAUUAACUACAACAAAAAGUGUUCUCUCAAUAAAUCUUGUCACAAACAAGAAUCGUUACUUGAACUCUGAAAUUAGAAAAAAAAAAUUUAGGGAUGAAAAGAGGAAAGAUGGCGGCAAUAAAUAUCAAAACAAAGUAAUCAAGCAGAACUAAAUUCAGAUCGGACCCAGAUGACGUGAACCAGCAAGAUUGCCAAACCAGAAGAAAAUUGACUUCACAGCUGCUGCAUCGGUGAGGUGGGGUUAAUUAGGCAAAAGCGGUAAUAGGGAUAAAGGGAGAAACUUCUCUUUGUUGCAAUGGUAGAUCAUAGAAUGCUACAACUAGAAGAUUCCUUCCAUGUUUAUUUGGAGAAUCACUUAGCCUACUGUUGGACAUAUGGGUGCCAGUAGUUAACUUUUGACUCCAAGAUCAUGUAUGAGGAAAGUGGAUCCGUCAUUGUAACAUGGAAAGUAAGUCUACGUGACUGUGAG
rnacentral:misc_RNA from 1 species